CUGUAGCCACCCCACCUCUUGCCUGGGGCAGGCACAGGAUCUGGCAGAGCCCUGGUGGCUCCAAUCUCUCAGGCAAGACUGCGGCCACACAGGGGACGGGUUUGCUGCCACAUGUGUUGCACGGCGUCUCAAGGGUGGCUUGCAGAGGAGGGUAGGGAGGGUUCUGUCAGGUACUACUCCCUUCCUUAACGAGCAGGAGGCACCUUUCUGGCUGGGAUUGGAUUUGCCAAUACUGACAGAGCCAGGGCUGCUCACACAGCGAGUGGUCCUGGAGCAGAGGCACCCAGAGGGAUCACACGGGUGAGAUCAAGCUGGGAUUUGGUCCUUGUCCUUCACAAGCAAGAAGGUGCUUUGGGUAAGCAAACGUGAUCCUGCGGCAGGGAGCUGGAUCUGAGCUGCAGGCAAGGCUCCAGGAAUGGUGCUUCUUCCAAGCAGGGAGGCAAGAGGACUGUCCUAAGCAAACUGGCUGUUCCAGGUGAAGUCUUGGUGAGCAGAGCUUGGGGAGGUGGGAGCUGCACAGGCAUGGCACCAGCCUGUGUGCCCUUGUUUCCAGCUGGCAAGGAGCUCUGUGGGUGUUUGUGUUUGUAGAAAUAACACUCUUGUCUUGCUCUUUCCUUAUGUGAGGGUGUGGGCAUUUGACUGAAAUGUAAUCCCAGGAAAGGCCAAGGAUUUUGGCUGUUGUUGCAGGCACAUAAGGAAGAUGUUAUUGUCAAGUGCUCCCCUCCAUCCAGGCAAGAGGUGUUGCGGAGGUGGCUGGAGACUGAAGGGAGAUGGGGGGAGACAGGGGAACCCCUGGGCAAGGCAGGGUGGCAGCAGAGAAUCCGGGGGAGCUCUUUGGCAGAUAGUCUGCCAUCACAACAGCACCCAUGGCCAGGCUGGCCUGUCUGCCAACAUCUCCUUCUGCCAGGCUUGGAUGACUGCAGCCGCCAGUCUCACCACCAAAGCCCACGUGAGAUUUCCUGCCUGCAUCUCUUCCAAAAAAAGCAGCUUCCAGCCCACGGGAGAAAACCAAGCAUGAGGGUAGAGACGCUGCGAUGAUGCAUCGUCUCACCAACACCCACCCACGCCUGGGGGAGGGACCCUCUGGGCCGCCCUGGACGCUGCUGCAGGGGAUGAGCCUGGGGGCCAGCUGUGGCCAUCUGCUUUAUUGACACUGGGGGCUUUCAGAAUCCCAUCAGUGGAGCAGGAGAGAGUGUGUGAUUGACAUCCCUCCAGAGGACAUUGCUCCAAGAGACAGCCUGGGAAAGCAUCAUAUGAAGCUCCUUGGGGACGGGCAGAGUUGGGGGAUCCCAUACUCCACGCACAGCUGAUGCCCAUGAGAUGCACUGAACUCCUCCAAGGCAGCCCCAAGGGGGGUCCCUCCCUCCAGCUCUCAGCUUUCAGUGCCGAGACAUCAGAGGAACCAGUGCCAGGGGAGUUGUGCGGUAUGGGAAAGGUCUAACUGCCCAAACCAUGGAGCACAGCAGUUUGCCUGAAUGCUGGAAGGAGAAGGCAGCUCCGAUGCUGCUGCAGCUUCCCCGGCUGCCAGGGGAAGUAAUAGAAUCUUAGAAUCAUCCAGGUUGGAAAAGAUCACCUGUAAGAUCGUCGAGUCAGGUCUUCAUGUGUUUGUUCAUGAAAUGAAAGACGGCUGGGUGAGCCUGCUUUCUACUCCUCUGGCCUGCCUUCUGCAGCCCACAGGGGAUCUUUCCGUCUCGGGAUGACGCCUCCCCUCACGUCUCACAGGCACUCAAACACUGCCUGAGUGGGGACACAUCCUGGGCAGAUGUCAAACCUGUGCCCUGCGUGCGAGGGUGACGCGGGGGAAGGCGCUGGUACAAGCCCGUGCACUCGCAGGCACCACGGACCGUGCUGGGCACCGCACCGGGGGACACGGACCCUGUCCGGGUGUGCUCGGGUUGUCCCCUGUCCCCAGGCUGCCGCUCCCCCGCUGCCGUGGCCGGAAGACAUGAGCAGCUCCCGAUUAAAGGAUAUUUUAAGCAGACGGAGGGGCUGCGCCAGCCGGGGGAACGCGCAGCAGGAGAGGACGGGGACAGGACGCCUGAGAGACCAGAGGAGAAGACAAUUUACGCUGGAAUGUAAAUACAGCGGCAGCACGCUGCUCCGCAGGGCGUGUCACCCCCCUCCUGGCUCUGGAACACGGGUUAGAGCUGCCCAGGACGGCUCAGGCCACAUCCCUGCCGUGCCAGAAGCUGCAUCUCACCUGGGCACCGCGCAGAGGUGAGGAGGAGGGUCAGGGGCCGGUGCAGCCGCCUGGUGCCACUGCUGCUGUUCCUGCCGUCCGCGCUGAGGCACCGCAGGUUACACAUCCACUGCAGAGGGAUGGAGUCCCAGCCUUCCCUAAUAAUCCUAAGAAUCAAUAGCAGUGUCAUGGAUGCGCGGAACAACAGCUCCGAGUUGAGAGGGAACUUCUCAGCAGGAUUAACUCUGAAACCCAGUGACAACACUUCAAGAAUCUGUGCUAUCCCUGUCCCUGCUGCUCCUUCUAGCAGAUAGUUCUUACUAAUGAGCUUUACUCAACAGCACUAGAUUUGUCCGUAAGAGCAAAUUCCAGGGAUCAAAAAAUAAGGUUUAAGAUGCAAAUAUUCUGUGAGAUAUCGAGAUUUAAAUUAUUUUGGUGGGGUUUUUUUUCCUUUUGGUCCUUACUCCAGGGAUAAUUUUUAAAGGAAGCAAGGACAGAUCCUCUGGAAUGUGAGACAGAGAAUAUUUUUUAGAAGAAAAGACCAAAUAACAUAAAAUCAUUGCUUUAGUUUGGGCUGGUUUGGGGCUUUUUUGGCUUAUAACCUUGGAAUUUGGAAAAAUUCCCUUCUGUUAACCCAGGGCAGUGUAAGCACAGAUGUCCCCCCAUGGGGAGCAGGUCGGGCUCAUGCCCUCCUCUCCAGUCACAGAAUAUCACUGGGGAAGCCAUGGGCUUGUGGGUGGGUACUGGGACUGGCGGCACAGGGUGAAACCCAGCCAGCCACCUCACUGCCCAGAGUGAAGAAAGCUCAGCAGAUGGGUGGUCUGUGACAGGUGACAAAGAGACUCAAAAAAGUCCCUUUUUAAAAUGUCCAGCCCAUGCUGGUAGUGGGCUCCUCCUCUGUCCUGAGGCUGGGCCCAGUGCAAGGACCUGAUCUCAGACACAGAUGCUGGGAGAAUUCACACCCCAAGACAGGUUGUUUUUUAGUUUUCUUUAAUCUUCCACAUGGCUUUUUUUCUUUUCAUUUUGAGGCAGGAGUACUAACUGCUAAGGAUGCAUAUGGAAUUUGAAUAUGAAUGAUAAGAACAGCUGUGUAUAUCUAUUAUGAAUGAACAUAAACAGAAAUGUAUAAACUGAGAUUUUGGGGCUUUUGGAAGAAUUAGUGCCUUUGUUCCUGGAUUUUUUUCCUAUCAAAGUUUGAACCAAAGCCCAUUAGCCUGGACUUUCCCGCAGCCGACCAAGCCAGGAGCUUCAUUUCGUCCUGGCUCUGAGCCAUGCUGAAUUCUCCUCAACAGCUCAGUGAGCCCUAAUCCUAACAAAUUUACCCAGAGAAGUGGGUCUCUUAUUACACAGUCUAAUUUGAAUGCUUUCCAAGGUUAAUUUCAGCUCCCUCUCCCUCUCCAAACACGCCUGCCCCUCCAGAGCCAGCUCCCCCUUCCCCAGCCCCCCCGGCUCCCCGUUAGCGCCAGCCUGGGGGGAGCAGCCCCCUUCACCACCGAGAUGGUUUUUAAACGAGAAAAUAAUGGGAUGUGUGUCCCUGGGUCUGGACUCUGCCUGGAGGGUUUCUUAAUGCCGAGCGACUUCCUCCGCAAAUUAAUUGCAACUUUCGUUGGGCGAAAAUAGCCCCUUCCCCACAGGCUCUUCCGCACGUGCUAUUGCUCAGUUCAUAAUCGGAUUCCUACGACUCUGUUCUUUCCUUCCUGUCCCCAGUGUGCUGGUGAGGGCCACGAGGGGCCAGCAGGGUGACCCACCUGGCAGCCGGACCAUGGCCGGGAGCAUCGCUGCCGCCCGGCUGAGACGGCCCUGGCUCUUGCUUUGCAACAGACUGUGCAAGAAAACCUCAGCGUGGGGAAACUGAAACCUGGCCCGGUGCAGGGAGCAGCUGUCAGAUCCAUUAGGGAAGGGAUAGCGAAGGAACCAGCUAUGCCUGGUGGACAGCGAUUGCGGGAGAGGGGCGGUGGGGUGGCAGGGGUUCACAGCUGGGGGUUAGAAGGGACAGAACAAGGGGCAGUGGGUUUAGACUGAAAAAAGGUCAGUUUAGAUUCAAUUUAAGGGGUGAGGGUUUUUACACUGGGGAUGGUAAAACACUGGGCACAGGCUGCCCAGAGAGGUGGUGAAGGCCCCAUCCCUGGAAGGUCUGGCUGGAUGGGGCUCUGACUACCUGAAUUGGCUGAAGAUCUCCCUGCCCAUGGCAAGGGGUUGGAUGGGUUGGACUAGAUGGCAUUUAAAGGCCCAACCCAAACCAUUCUGUGAUUCUAUAAAAGAAAAGGGUAGGUGGAAAACGUGUAUAGAGGAGCCAGGAUCCCACCUCACCCAUCAGCCCACCUGAAUGUGGCCCCAGGGAUAAUUUCUGCUGGCUUUUACCUGUAAGAAGCAAAGACUUGCCCCACCAGCUGGGCCUUGGGGGUUGUGCAGGGUCAUGGUAGGUGUGGAAUGGCAACUCUGCAGCCCUGGGACACGGGUUUUCCACAUGUCCUCAGGCAGUAAGGUCCCAGGUGUAUAGGGCAGAGUGCCUUGCCUGUCUCCCAGCUGCCAUGGACCUGAAAUUCACCCUACUUACUCUCCUCUCCUUUCCUCACAUUUUUCUUCAUUAUACUCUGUUAAUGUUUUUAUAUUUGCUCACUCUGACCAUCACAGGUAGUGCAAUAUUUCAUGACCCUGGCAGGAGAUGGGGCAGGGUAGUGGUUGGGGAUGUGCCCUGUGCUGUGCCAGGGUGGCUUAGCUGGGCUGGAGUGCCAGUGGGAUGACAACAACACUGGGCUCUUCCUGUCAGUGAUUCCAUGAAGAUGUCCUCUUUGAAGUGCCUCCACAGGUCACGUCUUCUGCUGUCACAUCCUGCUGCCAGGCGUACGAGCUGCACGUAUCAAAGCUGAGCCAUGUCUUAUCUCCUGGCUGUUCCUGCCUGCUCCCAGCCUGUGAAUCCUGGCUGCAGGGUGUUUGCACUGCUUCCCCGGCACUGUGGGUUGUGGCGGAUUUGGGGUGCCAGCUUCAGGGUGAGGGGCACCCCAGGGCAGGUCUCUGGGGUGCAGGUGGGAAGGGCUAGCACAGACACGGCCCUUAUCUGCCAGGAGGAUGCUGGUCCUUGCUGUAAGGUCAACCUUAAAUAAUGGGAAUAAUAAAAAGAAGACUGCCUGGAGGAAAGGAGAGAGCAAACUGAAUUCUGAUGAGGUUGCAUGGACACAUCAGCAUGACCAUUCACAGAAAUCAUUUUUAAAAGGGAAAAAAAGCAUAGUGUUUAGAUCAAAGGAUUUGGGACACAGCAGCCAGGGCACAAUCCCACAAGGACACCCUGGGAGAGGACAUCCCUGCUGAGAUCCCACAUCCAUGAGCUGCUUCUGCCCUGUUGUGCUAGGGAAGGUCCAGGGCAACCUUUGACUACAGAGGGUGUGGGAAAAGAGCCCAAAGGAUUGAGGAUGAUGCUGCUUCAUUCAGGAUGGGAACUGGUAUCUUGUCACCAGCUUUACUGCAACUGGGUGCAGUGCCUGGUGUGAAGGGGCAGAACAUUUACUUUUAUGGAUGGCCAAAAUGUACCAAGUUGUAGUGGCAAACACUGAAAGAGGAAGUUUUAGAAGGGAAAUUAAACAUUAAUAUUUCAGGGCUUAAGGCAAUCCUCAGUGCAAAGGCAGGAAAGUAAUUAGUGUUGUAGAUGGGGAAAUAACCAGCAUAAAUGGAAGUGGGGCGAGCGCAGGUUCAAGGGGCCGCAAGGAGGAGGAUGGGCAAGGGCUCUCCAGGAGAUGGCAAGGAAUGAGCCUGGGGGCCCCCAGGAAUCCCCCCCAGCACACCAAGCCCCAGCAGCACUGUAUUUCAGGGGGGCUGUGCCUGCAAUAACCCAGCCUUCCUCCUCCUCCUUGCCUUGGCUCUGCUGGCCACAGGCCAGGUGAAACGCUCCCCCGAGCACGGCGGGGACUGGUCCAACCCCGCACAGCUCCAAUUAUCCCUGGCUGGAGACUUUCCAGGAAUCCCAUCCCCUCUCUCUUCACCGACCCUGCCUCCCCCAGCCUCCCUCCCUCAAAGCAAUUUGACUUUUAUAGUAAUAACUUCUGAACCCUGGACUGGGGCCGUGCCAAGGAAAGCAGCAGAAAACAAUGUGAUGGGCCUCGGCAGGCGCGGAAACUCCAGCGACCGAGACCAGCCCUAAAAUAACUUUUGAGCGAUGGUUAUUUAUUCUGGGAGAAAGUUCGUUCAUUCACAAUUUGGAGGGGAGAUAAAUGAGGGCGGGCUGGGGCUGCAGAGCGGCAGCACGCCGUGGCUGCGGAUGCAGGGCGCCUGCAGCGCCAGGGCAGCCAGCUCACCGUGGUCCUCCAGCCCAUGUCCUGCUGGAAAACCCUUUUUGAAGGUGUUUGUUCAUCUGAAAGCCCCGGGCUCAGGUGGAGGAGUCCAGCUCGAGGCUGGGGGUCUGCAUGUGCCACCAGGUGCCAGGGGCUGUACUUUGUGUGUUUGUGCCUGCAUAGGUUUCAGCUUCCCUGGGCAUGCUGUUCAGCAUGGUGGUUGUGCCCCAUGCCACCGGGGCACACCUGCACCUGGGCUCUGCACACUGAAGCCAUGGUUGUCCAGUGGGCAGCAGGUGGUGCAGGCAAAAUCCAGGCAGGAACAGACAGCAUCCUGCUGCCAGUUCUGUUGAGCAUCAGCGUGUGCACAGCAGCUGUCAGCCAACAUCAGCUGGGCAAGCAACAAGUGGUGCAACCUCAGUAAUUCUGCAGCUCUGAGCUGCCACAGCUUCCCUGCAAUGCACAGGAGCUGAACCAGAGCUCCCAGAGGAGCCUUGAACAAUCUGGGCAACCCUGAGUACUUCUGAACUGGGGACACUCCAAAGGAGGCAGCCAGCCCUCAGCACUGCCACGCAUCUGCCCAUGCAAGUGUUUUAUGGUCCCUGUCACCACGGGCUGGGCACUCAGCGGGAUCUGGAGUGCAGUGGUGACUCUGCCAAACAAGACUCAGGCUGCCUGCGUUAUACUCGGGCUGGACAGCUGGCCUCCCUUGGCAGGUUUGGAGAAUAAAUGCUGGGGAAACCUGGUCUCUGCCUGCUGGGUGACAGAGGUGACAGAGACCUCGCAGCGUGGCUCCAUGGGCAGCUGGGUAGGAGAGGGACAGACAGUGACUUGACUGGGUACGAGGGCCUUACCAGCUUUGCGUGCAGAUCAUCUCCAAGAAUGAUACACAUCCAAGACUGCCUGCCCACAAGCAUCUCAGGGGCAAGGCACCAUGCCACAGCAACAGGGGACAGCAUUGCCACCAUCACCUACCCUGCACAUCAGAUCUUGGAGAGUGCACUGCUCUGGAGUGAGAAGACACUGCCACAUCCCCGCCCACCAAGAGAACAACUGCACUUGCCUGGGCCAUCCCUCUCCUCCUAUUGCCUCCAGGCUGGGGGACCUUGCUGAGACCAUCAAAUAUUUUUGCUUUGGAAUGACAUGUGAACACAUUGGAGUUGGGGAUCUGGAGCUACAAAAGAGGAUUUUUCAGUGCUGCCCUUUGCAGAGUUAGGAGGGCACCACUCUGUUUAGCAACACAGUCACUCUGGCACUGGGUAAACUGUCACCCAGCCGCCCUUGCAUGGGGACAGCAGGGUAAACGUGGGGUCACACACGGGUCAGGAGCAGCCCUUGGCCGUGCUGGCCAGCACACACAGCUUCCUUCAUGGCACAGUGCCCGUGACUGUGAGACUGGCCCUGCUGGGCCACAUCCCUCAUCCUGCCAGGCAGGAAGGCUCCGGCCCCCUGCUCCUCCUCGCCUCUCCACAUCCCCUGCCCUCUGCCCCGCCACUGCUGUGGACAGCCCUGUGCUUGCCAGAUGACUUCCAGCCUCGCUGCUCUUCAGGCUGUCUGAGCAGCUCGUGAUCUUGGCAGGCAGCUCAGAGUCCUACCAGUCAUCAUUACAAUGAUUAUUUGUGUCUUCCCAGCUCAAAAGGGCUUUCCUCUUACCUCGCCCCUGGCUGGCCUCAAGCCAGGUGGAACUGUGGAUGGAGAAAGGGGAGACGGCAGCAUCCUGCACUGUCAGAGCAAGGGACUGCAGUGGCAUGCAGGAGAUGGGACAGAGGGAAGGACAGAUCUUGUCCCUCCUCCCAAAUGCUCAGAUCGGAAAUCAACACCCUCUUGGUUAAUUCAUUAGCUUUGAUUAGCAGCUCUGAAGCUCGGACCAGCUAAUGGGCUCCCUCCCCCUGGUUAAUCUCCAAGAGGAGUUCAGCAAGGUUAUCUGAACCAGGAAUGGUGAGGGAAGGAUGGAGAUGAGUGCAAUUGAAUUAGGAAGCUGUUAAAUGAGGAAGCCAAAUUGAGCCCAAACACAUCCUUUGCAAAAUGUCCCCAUUUUGCAAAACAUGGGGUAGAGCAUCAUUAAAGCAUGGGGCAGAACACAGCAUCAUGGUUGCACUCAUCUGGGUCGAGGCUGGGGCUGGGGCAGCAAGUCCCUGUGGGCAUCAGCCUGGGGUGUGGGGUCAUGUUUGCCAGCUCCAUCCCACGCAGAUACCUUCACCAAGACCUUCAUCUCCCUACGUGGGCUGCAUCUUCCUCCAAGUGGGGGUUCCUCUGCAGCCUGGAUUUUGUUGUUGAUUAAAUUAGCUCAGCAGUAACCUAUUUGUGAUGAUGAUGUGAGGUAGCAACCUUCAGUGUUUUCAUUAAAAUAUACAUGUAUAUAUUUGUUUUCUGCGGUUAUGAAUGUAAUUCCACAAUCCACUGAGGAGCUGGUAAUUUUCUGGCUGAGGUGGGAAGUUGCUGACAUCUUGUGAUACAUGACAAGAUUGAUUGUAUUUGCUUACCCUUUAACCUAAUAAAGAAA